rnacentral:rRNA from 1 species
UACGAAGGGGGCUAGCGCUGCUCGGAAUCACUGGGCGUAAAGGGUGCGUGGGCGGGUCUUUAAGUCAGGGGUGAAAUCCUGGAGCUCAACUCCAGAACUGCCUUUGAUACUGAAGAUCUUGAGUUCGGGAGAGGUGAGUGGAACUGCGAGUGUAGAGGUGAAAUUCGUAGAUAUUCGCAAGAACACCAGUGGCGAAGGCGGCUCACUGGCCCGAUACUGACGCUGAGGCACGAAAGCGUGGGGAGCAAACAGG